GGAUCACGGUCCUGCCUGGGCUGCAGUUCCUGCUGGGAGUGAUGCAGGAGCACGCUGGGAGUCUGGCUCCUUCCUGCCCCAGCAGCAGCCUGGCAGCAGAUGGGGCAGGGAGCCACCACUGGGACAAUUCAUUCACUGCCAGUGAACGCUCCCUCAGCUGAGCACGGCUGUUGUGUCUCUGUCUCCAUGAGGAUCUGUAUCCCUGGAAUCAGUACUGCAGCAGUCGCUGCUCUCUGUGGCCAGGAAACACUGCUCUUGCACACUGCUGUACACGCCAGAGGGUGCUUUUUCUCUGAACCAAACAGCCUUUAUUUCAUAGUGUGUUGUGGGUUCAUAGAAAGUGAUCAAGGUCUUGGAAGCUGAUUCUUGUUGUAUUCUGUGAAAAUCCACCUCUCUUCAGCCUAAGGUGUGGCGGGGGCUGAAGAACUCCUGAAGGCGAAGACUCUGCUUGUGGAUGUGUGGCACUGCAGGUACAUGGGAACAAGAAACCGGGAAGUUGAGGGAGCAAGGAAAGGAGAUGGAAGGCAGCCUUGGGCAUGUUCUUUGGGUUGGGCAGAAUAACCUUCCCUCUGAUCACAUGGCCUUUCUCUGAAAACGGGGGAAAUUCAUUCCUGGGACAUUGGCCUGAAGAAUGAACAAUGUUCCUACCGGACUGUUCUACAAUCCCCCGUUUUUCCUUAAUUACAUUAUUUAUUGGGUGAAGUUUGCUGUGACCAAGAUGCUAAUAAGAAAACAAAAUUUCCUCAGAGACUGGUUUAGUGGGAACUGCUGCAAAUUGAUGUGCAUUGAACUAAGAUUUUAAGGAGGAAAUAACUGUAUUGAACAGUAUUGGUCAAAAUGGAGGAGAAGCAUGUUUUUGAGGGUGCAAAAACUUGGUUAUAUUAAGAAGAAUUAUUACUGCAGAACCAGUUCUGAGAUAAGGCAAGUCUAGAGUCUUCCAACCUUUUCCUCUUCAGAUUUGUCAGAGCUGUUGUCGCUGCAGGGCACAGAGCUUGCAGGGAAAAGCCAGGCAGGGUGUGGAGAGGGUGUCCUGUGCCCCAGGGGAGUGGGGUGAGGUUGAGGAGUGCUUGAAAGCUCUUUUGGGAAGUUCUGGGAGAGGAAAUGUGUCCAAAGGUUUUGAGGCUCUGUAUGAGAGGGCUGCCAGCAGGAGCAAAGUUUGGAGAUGCCAAAGGUGCCACACACCUGCUUUCUUGCUGUCAGGCUAUUGAGUAAUCGGGAUCAACACAUCCUCAGUGACCUCUGUGCUCAGGGCCAAGUGUCCUGGGCUACUGCCUGGCAACAAGAUCCCUUUGGAGGGGAAGGGAGGAGGGGUUUAGUUGUUAAAACUGGUCCCUUUAGAAGAGGGUGGAUGGAUUGGUGUGGCCAGGAGAUCAUGGUACAGAAUCAGUGACCCCUGGUGGGGGUACUGCUUACCCUGUUGGGCUGGAACUCCCCUCCUGGGACCCUUUGAAUGCCUCUGCUCCCUUCUCCGUGACCCUGCUCCUCCACACUGGGAUUGGACACAGGAAGAAUGGAGCCCACGUAGCAGCGUGAUAAUGCAGGACAAUGGCUUUAAAAUACAGCUACUUGUAGGAUUUGUGUAAGAUUCAGGGGCUCUGGGGGCUGUGUGUCCUGCAGGAGCCGAGAUGUGCAGCAGCAGAACUUGCCUGGUGCAGGGACUGGGGCUGCCCCGGCUUUUCCCGUGGCAUCGGCCGGAUGGCGCCUGGACGCGUUUUCCUUGUCCUGCAGCUGAGUCCUAGCGAUAAACAGCCAGCAGUGACUGCCUGGGACUGCACAUGACUUUUCUCUGGGGCUACGGGAAUAAAGGGACUGAGGAAUUAAAAAGGCUGUUCCCGAAUUCCGGCGGGUACAAGGAUGAAGCGAAGCGCCCUCUGGUGCCGACAGCGGUGAGGUCCUGAGCCGAGAAGAGACUUUGUGUUUUUCCUGAAAGCUUAAAUUUAUUCUUUUUUCUCUGAAGAUUGUUGCUCAGUGAGGUUCCAGCAAGCACUGCAGCUGCCUGAGGAUGGGAACAACAUCUGCAGGAACAGACUCCCACACCCCGCUGGAAUGCUGCACUGGAGAUGUCACUCUGAGCUGAGUCUCUGUCCUCAGAGACUGGAUACCCUUGAUGAAGUUCCUUCCCUUCCUGUAGAUUUGAUAACUCCAAAUUCAGCACCAGAGGGAGGUGAAAAAAAAAAAAAACACAUCUCAAACAAAGCCAGCAUGGCUGAUUGGGACACUAGUACCACAAUCCCUCCUGCAGGAAGAGAUACAUUUUUGUUGGGAAAAAUGUUCCUCAUCUGGCUGUAAGUACACUUUCCUUCUGGCCCUUCCAAAAAAGACAGGAUAUAGAAAUACACAUUUCUUUUCAGAGUGGAGAGAGAUGGCAGGGAUUGUUGUGCAGUAAUGUUUACAGACAGCCUGGGGGCUUUUCCCUUUCUUCUUGUAGAAGUGAUUUGAAAAUAAAAAUAUGUUGUACAGACACAGACUUACCCCAGAUAUGGAACUGGAACAAAGACUGCAGGAAACCUUUUAGCAAAGCAAAGGGAAGUUGCAGUAAUAUUUCUUCUUGCUGUAAAUGCAGCCUGUGAUCCAAUAGAUUGCUGUGAAACUUGUUUGUUUUCCAUACAUCUGUUUCUGGUUAACAUUUGGGGAAAUGUCCAGCUCACAACUCUGUACAAUUGCUAAAACUCCCUGAUCUCGCCCUGCUGCCAAUUCUACUGUUGCAGUGUAUGACCUGGCUUGAACAAGAUUUCAUUUGACUUUAUGGGUAUAAUUGGUGAUUUAUCUUUAUUUAUAGGUCUAGCUUUUGGUAUUUCUAUGAUGUUAAAAAUAGUAUCCUAUGGAGAAAUAGACUUUGUAAGUCACAGUGGGGACAAUUGUGACUCCUUUUGUGUUCAAUUUCCAAAAUAUAAACAGGAGUUUCUAAGAUUAUAGGUAAGAAUAAAGCCUACCUUUUCCUUAGCACUGUCUCCAUUGGUUUGACCCCAGGGGUUAGGAACAAAGAUAGUUCCUAAUUUUGGAGAAGUUUGCACUCUCUGUCCAGAGAUGAGCAGAUGUAUUUGCAAAUAAAAUACAAUUAAAUUAGGUGUCCCAUCAUGAAGGCAGUCCUGAAUCAAGGUCAGAACAUUUUGCCUCCUUCUGCAGUUAAGAAAUAGUUACAUUUUUCAUAGCUGUUGGCUACAAAACUCUGACUGCAUUCCUCUCUUGCAGCCAGGCUGUCUGUACAGGUCAUACCUGGCUAACACUGGGUCUAGGAAAAGGCUGAGUUUAGGGAGGCUCUUUCCCUGUGGUGCUAUCCCAGCUGCUUCAAUGGAGACAGCUGCCCACGUACAAAUUUCUUUUAAAUGAGCUUGGAAUUCUUAUGACCCAUGUUCAUGAGGAUGAGGUGAUUUUAAACUCUGGAAUCUUAUAAACAGAAUUCUCCCUUUGAGCUCCAUCUUUGCAACUCACCCAUGAGAAGGUAAAAGUGAACAUUUACACUGUGCUUAGGAACACUGUGAUUCCUGAGUACACAGAAAGGGAAUACGAGCCAAUACGUUUAUCCAGGGAAAGAAGAUGUUGACAGCACAUUUACAACGUGUUGUAAAGAACUCACCAGGAUGCAAGGAAACAGCAAUCUGGAUAAACAUGGGCAUCAGCCAGCAGCUCUUCCUUUAGCUGGGACCCUUCUGCAGUGCAGUCAGUGUUGGAGACAAGGGCAAGGAGGGAUCCUGGAUGAAAGCAGAAGCCAGGGAGACUCCAGUCCAGCUCCCUGCCCUCUCUUCAAGCUGUCAUUUUGCACAGGGAAGAUUGGAUCAGCUUCAAAAGGCCCUUGGUUAGAUUUGAAGAACCUGAGCUUUUUGGAUGUUUUAUUGCAAGCUGCAUAUAUGAGACUUUACCAGCCAAACCUUCUGUGUUUGUGCUGUGGCAGUUCUGGGCUUGUGCUGUGCCACACACCACACACACUCCAGUUUUCCUGUGCCAGCUCCGCUGUGCUCCAGAGCUCCCCUGCUCUGCCAGGAUUCAGGCGAAAACAAACAGGGUGGAUAAAGAGUAGGGAGGACACAGAGCCACAGCAAGGCCAGAAAGGGGUUUCUGUUCUGGACCCUGGUCUGUGCAUCCUCUUCAGGGUAGGACAGGUUAGACUGAGUCUAACCAGGCACAGACUGGGGCUCUUCUGCCUCAAUGGCUCUUUAGCCAGUGCUGGCCUAGGCUGGCAAACACAGAGGUGAAAGCCAAGGGAUAACUCACCCCCACAGCAGCAAAUGCAGCCAGUUCUGGGCACUUCUGAAGCAUUUCUUCCUCAGUUUUACUGUCUUUGUAGCUCCCUAGACCAUGGGUGCCAUGACAAAGAGGCAACACAAGACAAGGACACAGGAAUUAAUCACAACACGUGACUGAUCUGAUGGACUUCAUGUAGGAGGUGUGUGGGGAGCUGAGAGCGGCCUCGGUGUCAGGGAAAAAACUGGGGGCUGGUGUUAAAUACAACCCCUUUGAAUCAUCUCAGGCCUCAAUUGUCUAAUAUUGCUAAUAACAAGGACUAAUAAUACACUCUUUGACCUUGAAAAAGGCCAAAUAAUCUUUUCCAACAGCCAGCAGCAACCAGUGUACAGACCAGACACCAACUAUUGCCAAAAAAUGAGAAGGACUGAUCUGGGUCUGUUCCUUGAUCUAACUGGAUUUCUGUAUUUUUUAUGAAUUACUGUCUUGCCAGCUGCUACCUAUGGAAAAGUGGCUGCACUUGCCUAAGGUACUCAGACUUUCCUUGUGUCUUUAUGGAAACAUCAUGCCUCAGUAAAUUUGACUUCACACAUAGUAAAGCUAAGAGCUCACCUGAUUAUCCAGAAGAGGUUCACAUUAGCAUUGCAUCUUGAGAAAUACAUAUACAUUUAUGUUUAUGAAAUGCAAACAAGCUGUUGAUUAAUGCAGCUCUGCUUCCUCUGGAGAGCUGGCUGUUCUGCCUGAGAAACAUCAACUUCUCCACACUCUCCUGCUUUGAUUUAGAUGAAGAUAUAUCCUCCACUGUUGUACCUGCCCAUAGAUCCCAGUUCCAUGGGGAUAAUGAGGGGGCUGAGGUGUAUUUCCAUCUCUCAGAAAUGGGAAAACAAAACAGCUCAGCUUAUGGAACCCAAACUGAUAUAAGACUGAACUUUAAUUUUGUAAUCCUUGUUAGUUCUUGUGUUCUUCUGCAUGCAAAACUGACCACUUAAGACAGACCUUAAAGUAACAUUUUUCUUUACAUUAAAUACUCACAAGAUAUGCAGCUUUAACAUAUUCCCAGUGCCUUUAUUUAGUUGCUCAGUACCUUCAUAAAGCAGCUAUUGCUUACUAAUCUGGAUUUCACCCAACAUGGGCUGGGUAGUUUAUUACUUUAAAACUUUAUUUCAUUACCUUAAAUGAAAUAACUCUGGUUUACAUAGAUCAUUGUUACUUAGGCAUGUUCACAUGAUCUCUCAUUGUGUUAAAUCAGUGCUAAAUGAAGUGUGUGAAGCAGAGCAUUUCCAGAGUAUUUUUGCCUGAUUCCAAUUUAUAAAAGUGUGAUUUAAAUUCAGGCCUCCUAGAAUUGAUUUCUGCAGAGAUGAUAGAGGAGAUAGGAACACUAACAUGUGCUUCUGCUCAACUGGGCUCCUCUUUCCAGUUCUUCCUGUCUGUCUGCUAUGGAUUUCCCAUGCCAAAUACCCAUCUCUAAUGUUGGCACAAAAACAAAUCCAUGGUUUAUCUCAAUGUAAACAAGAGAAAAGCUCAGCUAAUUGCACUCAUGGUUCUUACUGACUGCAGAAUCGUGGCACUUUCAGAAACAUUUCUGUGUUCAGGCAGGAUUACUUGCUCAGAUUUAUUCCUUAGACUGAAAUCAGGCCUGUCUUCAGCUCAGUAAUGAUGUUUGCUGUAUGCUAAAAAAGUGUGGAAUUACAGGUAGAUGGAUCCAGUGUUGCUGCCUCCUUUCAGCUGCUGGACCUGGGCUACUCCCAAAUUCCUGUAGCCAAUAUGGCUGUUGUUGUUUGGGAGGGUUAAUGCUGUGUUGUGAUAGCAUUUCACCCAGCAAAGUCCAUCCAACAGGGAUCCCUUUGCAAACUAUGAAAAUAUUUUUUAUUGAAGACUUUUUCCAGACCAAGCCCUGUAUUGAGUACAUGAUGCAGCAAUUAGCUGGCCUGUUGCUUUCCUAGGCUGAUUACUCAGAAGUAUCAGUAUUGUUUGUACCCAGAAUUCCUCCAAAUGCAUUUGAAGGUGUUGGUUGCCUUUCUUCAGCUGAAAGCACAACAUUUAGCACAUGGUUUUCAGGGGAACCAUGAGGUGAGGUUGCUCUGAACUAACACUGGGAGCUUCUCCACUUGUUUCUCUACAAGAAAUCAUAUUUACAAGGAAAGCCUCGCCCUCCAGAAAUCAGCUCCCAGAACUGCUCCUGUCACCCUCAGAAGAGGAGAGCUCCAGGCAAAGCUUUGGGACAUGGCUGUGCCCAGCAUGCUGAACAUCACCAGAGAGAAGGGGCAAGGAGGAGGGGACACUCACAGGCUGAAUUUAGAGGGUGACAACAGCUUCUAAUCUUGCUCUACCAUUUUCAGUUGUCACUGAGUGCUGCUGCUGGGAAUUGGGAGCCAUUUCCACUGCAGGGACAUUUUUGGGUGGAUGAUGUGUGGAGUAAGGAGUGAGUACUGAAUGAGGUGCAGCUGACACAGUGAUUGCUGGUAAAGAGUGGGAGCCACCUCAGUUAUUCCAUGACUUGUGUGUAAAGACAUCUGUCAGAGAAAUGAUGCAGACUUUCCAAGCUUCCAGUGGAGCCUGUGGGCAAACUGGGUACUGGGUUGCAUCUGAUCAACUCCAUCUCCAAAUGUGCAACAGGAGAAUUAUCUCAGUGUGUUUCAUCACCUGGGCAGCCCAGAGGACAUGUGUGGUGGUAGAGCUGCAGGAUUUUUUGGGAAAUUAAUAGUUACUGUUAUGCAGUUCAGAUUUGGGGGGUUAUUUAAUGGUACAGCAGUGCAGGGUUAACUGAGGCCUCAUUUUUUCUGUUCUGGAAGAUGCUUGAGAGUUUUACUGACUGCACCUUGCUGAGGAGUUCAGGCUAGAUCAACCCCCACAAAUUUUCUUGUAGUAAGUACAGUUGAAAGGUCUCCAGUUUUGGUUUGCCGGAGUUCAGCAAAAUCCUAUUCCGUGGUAUUUAAUACUGUUUUAAACAAGGUGUCUGAACAGCAGCACACAAACCACUUGGGUGACUCAAAUCAACAGCUUGUUGAGAGUCAACAGCAAGAUAAGUUGCAACCACUCCUUGAUUAAAGGAGGGAAAAUACGAUAGCCCUCAUGAUUCAUAUUAUAGAGGGCAGCUUUUGGGCCAAGUGUGCAAGGAGGAGAAAUAUUGAUGUUGCCUCACUGGCAUUGGUGUAGUGUUAAUAGGGUGUCGGCAUUCAGUUUAUGCUAAAUAUUUUAUAUUUGUCAGAUGACAAAUGACAGUGGGAACAGACAGGGGAGGGGACAAGUGGAAAGCUAAGGAGGGUAAGAAUCCAUCUUUCCCAGGCUGCAGCUGAUGCCAGACAUUCAAAAGUUGCUUUCAAUACAUCAAGCAAGGAAGAGUCACGGCUGAUGUUGGUUAUUUAAAAUUUUAUUUGCCUCUAAUUUAUUCUCAUAAAAACACUCUAAUCUAUUUGGUUUAGUAUUCAGACAGUACAGACUUCUUAUAUUAUCACGUGUGAUAUUAGAGAAGCAGUACAAACCAAUCUACCUUAGCAUGUAACCAAGCACAGGUGGAACUAAGCCCACCCACAGU